rnacentral:rRNA from 1 species
UGGGGAAUAUUGGACAAUGGGCGCAAGCCUGAUCCAGCAACGCCGCGUGAGUGAUGAAGGCCUUAGGGUUGUAAAGCUCUUUCGCACGCGACGAUGAUGACGGUAGCGUGAGAAGAAGCCCCGGCUAACUUCGUGCCAGCAGCCGCGGUAAUACGAAGGGGGCUAGCGUUGUUCGGAAUUACUGGGCGUAAAGGGCGCGUAGGCGGCCUGUUUAGUCAGAAGUGAAAGCCCCGGGCUCAACCUGGGAAUAGCUUUUGAUACUGGCAGGCUUGAGUUCCGGAGAGGAUGGUGGAAUUCCCAGUGUAGAGGUGAAAUUCGUAGAUAUUGGGAAGAACACCGGUGGCGAAGGCGGCCAUCUGGACGGACACUGACGCUGAGGCGCGAAAGCGUGGGGAGCAAACAGAUUAGAUACCCUGGUAGUCCACGCGUAAACGNUGAAUGCUNGACGUCGGGGUGCAUNCACUUCGGUGUCGCCGCUAACGCAUUAAGCAUUCCGCCUGGGGAGUACGGCCGCAAGGUUAAAACUUAAAUGAAUUGACGGGG